rnacentral:rRNA from 1 species
AAUAGAUACCCAGGUAGUCCACGCCGUAAACGAUGAGUGCUAAGUGUUAGAGGGUUUCCGCCCUUUAGUGCUGCAGCUAACGCAUUAAGCACUCCGCCUGGGGAGUACGGCCGCAAAGCUGAAACUCAAAGGAAUUGACGGGGGCCCGCACAAGCGGUGGAGCAUGUGGUUUAAUUCGAAGCAACGCGAAGAACCUUACCAGGUCUUGACAUCCUCUGCCAACCCUAGAGAUAGGGCGUUCCCCUUCGGGGGACAGAGUGACAGGUGGUGCAUGGUUGUCGUCAGCUCGUGUCGUGAGAUGUUGGGUUAAGUCCCGCAACGAGCGCAACCCUUGAUCUUAGUUGCCAGCAUUCAGUUGGGCACUCUAAGGUGACUGCCGGUGACAAACCGGAGGAAGGUGGGGAUGACGUCAAAUCAUCAUGCCCCUUAUGACCUGGGCUACACACGUGCUACAAUGGAUGGUACAAAGAGCUGCGAACCCGCGAGGGUAAGCGAAUCUCAUAAAGCCAUUCUCAGUUCGGAUUGUAGG